GCGUCAAUAGUGCAACGGGUUAGAGCACGCGCUUCCGGAAAAGAUGUGGUGCGAGUUCGAUUCCCGCCUGACGCA